rnacentral:rRNA from 1 species
CAAUAGCGUAUAUUAAAGUUGUUGCAGUUAAAAAGCUCGUAGUUGGAUUUCUGAUGAGAGUACGGGUCGGUCUUAACGGGUUGCACUGUUGUUACGUCUCGUCGUUUCGAGGGGAAUGGGUUCGCUAUUAGGUUAGUGGGCUCGGGAACCUUGUCGUUUACUGUGAAAAAAUUAGAGUGUUCAAAGCAGGCCUUUGCUGUGAAUACAUUAGCAUGGAAUAAUAAGAUAGGACUGUAGUGCUAUUUUGUUGGUUUGCGUACUAAGGUAAUGAUUAAUAGGGAUAGUUGGGGGUAUUUAUAUUCCGAUGUCAGAGGUGAAAUUCUUAGAUUUUCGGAAGAUAAACUUAUGCGAAAGCAUUUACCAAGGAUGUUUUCAUUAA